GACGAACGCUGGCGGCGUGCUUAACACAUGCAAGUCGAACGGAAAGGCCCUGCUUUUGUGGGGUGCUCAAGCGGCGAAAGGGUGAGUAACACGUGAGUAACCUGCCCUUGACUUUGGGAUAACUUCAGGAAACUGGGGCUAAUACCGGAUAGGAGCUCCUACUGCAUGGUGGGGGUUGGAAAGUUUCGGCGGUUGGGGAUGGACUCGCGGCUUAUCAUCUUGUUGGUGGGGAAGUGGCUUACCAAGGCUUUGACGGGUAGCCGGCCUGAGAGGGUGACCGGCCACAGUGGGACUGAGAUACGGGCCAGACUCAUACGGGAGGAAGCAGUGGGGAAUAUAGCACAAUGGGCGGAAGGCGGAAGCAGCAACGCCGCGUGCGGGAUGACUGCCUUCGGGUUGGAACCCGCGUGCGCCUGUGACGAAGAGUGAGUGACGGUAAUGGGUAAAGAAGCACCGGCUAACUACGUG
rnacentral:rRNA from 1 species